GACGAGUCUUACGAACGUUAUUCGGAAUUACUGGGCUUAAAGGGUGCGUAGGCGGUGGAGUAAGUCGGAUGUGAAAUACCAUAGCUUAACUAUGGAACUGCACUCGAUACUACUUUGCUAGAGUAAGACAGAGGUGAGUGGAACUGAGGGUGGAGCGGUGAAAUGCGUUGAUAUCCUCAGGAACACCGGUGGCGAAGGCGACUCACUGGGUCUUUACUGACGCUGAUGCACGAAAGCUAGGGUAGCAAACGGG
rnacentral:rRNA from 1 species